rnacentral:rRNA from 1 species
UACAGAGGGGGCAAGCGUUGUUCGGAAUUACUGGGCGUAAAGGGCGCGUAGGCGGCCUUCUAAGUCGAACGUGAAAUCCCCGGGCUCAACCCGGGAACUGCGUCCGAUACUGGAAGGCUUGAAUCCGGGAGAGGGAUGCGGAAUUCCAGGUGUAGCGGUGAAAUGCGUAGAUAUCAGGAAGAACACCCGUGGCUAAGGCGGCUCCUCUAGUACGGUACUGACGCUGAGACGCGAAAGCGUGGGGAGCGAACAGG